rnacentral:lncRNA from 1 species
GGAGAAGAAGAGCAAUCUCGGAAUCCCGCGAAAACUUGAUCGGCGUAUUGGUCACGGGGACUACAAUGGCGAAGAUUGAACCCAUUGAUGAGGACGAGUCAGAGGACAAGAAGAAGACGAAGAUGAAAAACCGAAACCAUGGAUCCACGAACUUCUUCGUGUUCGUUGAUUAUCUUUUCCUCUUUAUAUUUUUCUGCUUUCUUUGUUAUAUCAUCUUCAAGGUAUUGGGUGUUUGAACGAACCUUCAUCGAUUUGGUUUUUGGUCAUGGUGAUCGUUUUUUCCAAUUCGCUAUGGAUAGACAGAAACUUCAAUUCCAAUAGACUUUUCCAAGACAUCUCUUUGUCCAUUAUCAUCGCAUUGUUUUAGAAGUUUCCAAAUUUGAUUUGUUAAUACAUCGUAGUUGUCGUUGGUUUUGUUAAUGCUAAAUGCUAAUGCUGAGAUUACUUUGAAACUUUGAGAUUUUACAUAUCUUGACAAAAUUUCAGACUUUGUAAAGAGAGUUUCUCUUUUGACUCAAUCAUGGCAAUAAUGAUUCAAUUGAAGAGUUUCUACAUAUUUCUACUCUUUUGUGACUCAAUACAUUUGCAGCAAUGUGAGUCAUUACAUUUUAUUUGGAAAUAUUAUUUUUAGAUAGUAUGUAAGCAAAAGCUCUGGAAUUUAUUCAAUAUCCUCUUAAGUAUAUAUAGAGAGAGAUCAUGAAGAUAUAUGACUAUGAUGAAAUGACUAGUAUACUUGUUAUGUGAACCAGAAUUGAAUACCCUUCUGCAUCUAGCAAAAGCUUAUUUGUUGACAGGUCAUGGUUGUGGCACUGGUGGAACUUCAUCUUCUCCUGAACUCGGACUGCGGGCUUUAUUACUAGGAGUUCCAUUUGAAGUGGCUGGGGCAACAGCAAGGGGAUCUUUGUAAGGAAGGAAUGGCAGCUUAGGUGUGGGAGGUAGCAAGAACCUUCCAAAACCAGGAAUGAGACUAGAUGGUUGAGGCACCAUGUUUACAGGAAAGUCUGAAUGUUUGCUCUCACUGGGAGUGGGGGAAAUGGGAAUGUAACGCAUUCCGGUUACUUCCUCUGUACAUCCAAGAAUCAGGCUUACCAGAACAAUUGUGGCUGUCAGAUUUUGCAGAGUAUAAGCCAUUGUUGUGUUAGUUGAGGAUAAAAGGUAAGAGCUUGAAUGUGUGGUUUGUGGAGGGAAGAUGGAAGAGAUAGUGUGUGUAAUAUAUAGAGUAGAGUGAAAUAGUUAAAGCUAAUUAUGGGUACAUUAAACGAACAUAAACAAAGUGCUUUAUUUACUAAAGAGAGAGAGCCUACAAAGUCUGGUAGCAUCUAUGGUAUUGGCGGUGAAUUAUUGCAUGAUGAUCAGUCAUAACAUUUGCCACACAUGUCUAAUUAGUAAUUUUGGUUGUGAUGGGCUUUUGUGCAACGAGGUCUUUGUCUUCUCUCUCACUUUUCUUUUAUUAUUUAAAAUCCUACUUUCUUCUCAUAUUCAAACCGUGAAUUCUGCAGGUUUAUUUGGCUUCACAUACAAGUAACAGAAAAACCGAUGAAGAAGAAGUCAGCGAGAGACGACGGCUUCCACUUUGAAAGAGUUUGAUUUCUUUUACUUUCUCUUUAUUCUUUACGAAGUUGGUAAAACAUAUUUGACCAUUUCUUGAGUUUUCUUCUCCGAUCAAUCUUUUGAUAAUGUUUUAAUAAUUACAUUUACGUGACUAGCGGCAUAUUCUACAGUUGUCUGAUAGAAAUUUGUAAGAAAUCCAUAAAAGUCAAAGAGUGUUUCCGUACUUUUAUUAUCCCCA